CGGACGGGUGAGUAACGCGUGAGAACAUGCCUUUAGAUUGGGGACAACAGUUGGAAACGACUGCUAAUACCGAAUGUGCCUUAGGGUGAAAGAUUUAUUGUCUAGAGAUUGGCUCGCGUCAGAUUAGCUAGUUGGAGUGGUAACGGCACACCAAGGCGACGAUCUGUACUUGGUCUGAGAGGAUGACCAGGCACACUGGAACUGAGACACGGUCCAGACUCCUACGGGAGGCAGCAGUGGGGAAUUUUCCGCAAUGGGCGAAAGCCUGACGGAGCAAUACCGCGUGAGGGAGGACGGCUUUUGGGUUGUAAACCUCUUUUAUCAGGGAAGAAUCGAUGACGGUACCUGAUGAAUCAGCAUCGGCUAACUCCGUGCCAGCAGCCGCGGUAAUACGGAGGAUGCAAGCGUUAUCCGGAAUUAUUGGGCGUAAAGCGUCC
rnacentral:rRNA from 1 species